GUUUAAAUCGAUUAUCCAAGUCAGAGCUCGUUUUUUCCUCCCGAGUUCGCUAUCGCUACGAACACUCGGAAAUCUAGUUUACUGUUGUCUUGACCGCGGCAAGAGCGCUUGGUCUUUGUCGCAGAAGUGGGAGGGAACGCAUGGGCCGUCCUGUAUUUUUAUUGGUGUUUUGGAAUGAAAAGUGGAGUCCAGAGCUAUGAUUGGUUGCGUUGCCGGCGAUAUAAAAGUUAAAGAAUCACAUUUCCUUCUUUCUCUACUCUCUCACAAGGUCGAAGGAAGGCUUUGCCGUUGUUUAACUCCGACCAACAUCAGCGUCACCCUCGGUCACGAAUUUGGAAACAUGUCUACAAGACCAGCAGUUGGCAUUGAUCUCGGGAGCACCUACUCCUGCUUGGGUGUGUUCCAGCAUGGUUGAAAUCAUUGCCAACAACCAUGGCAACAGGACCACUCCAAGUUACGUUUCCUUCAGACUCAGACUUAUUGGUGGUGCCGUCAAUAAUCGGGUUACACAGUAUUCGUCGUCAAUGCAGUCGUUACCGUGCCUGCUUAUUUCAACGACUCCCAGCGCCAGCCAUCCAAAGAUGCUGGCACCAUCUCAGGCCUGAAUGUACUGCAUAUCUUCAAUGAGCCAACUGCUGCUCCCAUUUCCUACGGCUUGGAUAAGUAGGUGUAUGAGGAUGAGAGGGCCAUGACCAACGACAACAACCUGUUGGGCAAGUUGGCGCUGACUGGAAUACCCCCUGCACCUCGCGAUGUUCUUCAGAUUGGGGUCACCUUUGACAUUGACGCUAACGACAUCAUGAAGGCGUCUGCAGCUGGCAAGGAGGACAAGAUCACUAUCCCCAAUGACAAGGGUGUAUGAGGGUGAGAGGGCCAUGACCAAGGACAACAACCUGUUGGGCAAGUUGGCGCUGACUGGAAUACCCCCUGCACCUCGCGAUGUUCUUCAGAUUGGGGUCACCUUUGACAUUGACGCUAACGACAUCAUGAAGGCGUCUGCAGCUGGCAAGGAGGACAAGAUCACUAUCCCCAAUGACAAGGACUGCUGAUAAUGAAGAGUAUGAGCACCAGAAGGAGCAUCGUCAUGUUGUACCAAGGUGCUGGUAUGCCCGACGGCGUGGCUGGUCGAUGGUGGUGCGGCUCCUGGUGGCUGGGUUGUCUUAACUGACUUGAGGAAGUCGACGACACCAUUCCACUGUUUCUGCAACUACCUCCCCCCUCACAAGCAACUUUUGAAAUGUUCUACCUGUUUGUGAUGGAGUCAGUGAGAUUUUAAAGUUAGAAAAAAAGGUUGUCGAUGAUAACACUUCUAUUGCAACUUUGUUUGCUACAGAACAGUAAUUGUCUGUUUGCUCAACUAGGCUGUCAGAUUUCACAUGGAGUAUAUUGUGCCUUUAAGACAAAAUAAAACAUGGUGACCUUCCACCUCAACUUCUAAA